rnacentral:rRNA from 1 species
GGUUAAGCGACUAAGCGUACACGGUGGAUGCCCUGGCAGUCAGAGGCGAUGAAGGACGUGCUAAUCUGCGAUAAGCGUCGGUAAGGUGAUAUGAACCGUUAUAACCGGCGAUUUCCGAAUGGGGAAACCCAGUGUGAUUCGUCACACUAUCAUUAACUGAAUCCAUAGGUUAAUGAGGCGAACCGGGGAACUGAAACAUCUAAGUACCCCGAGGAAAAGAAAUCAACCGAGAUUCCCCAGUAGCGGCGAGCGAACGGGGAGCAGCCCAGAGCCUGAAUCAGUGUGUGUGUUAGUGGAAGCGUCUGGAAAGGCGCGCGAUACAGGGUGACAGCCCCGUACACAAAAAUGCACAUGCUGUGAGCUCGAUGAGUAGGGCGGGACACGUGGUAUCCUGUCUGAAUAUGGGGACCAUCCUCCAAGGCUAAAUACUCCUGACUGACCGAUAGUGAACCAGUACCGUGAGGGAAAGGCGAAAAGAACCCCGGCGAGGGGAGUGAAAAAGAACCUGAAACCGUGUACGUACAAGCAGUGGGAGCACGCUUAGGCGUGUGACUGCGUACCUUUUGUAUAAUGGGUCAGCGACUUAUAUUCUGUAGCAAGGUUAACCGAAUAGGGGAGCCGAAGGGAAACCGAGUCUUAACUGGGCGUUAAGUUGCAGGGUAUAGACCCGAAACCCGGUGAUCUAGCCAUGGGCAGGUUGAAGGUUGGGUAACACUAACUGGAGGACCGAACCGACUAAUGUUGAAAAAUUAGCGGAUGACUUGUGGCUGGGGUGAAAGGCCAAUCAAACCGGGAGAUAGCUGGUUCUCCCCGAAAGCUAUUUAGGUAGCGCCUCGUGAAUUCAUCUCCGGGGUAGAGCACUGUUUCGGCAAGGGGUCAUCCCGACUUACCAACCCGAUGCAAACUGCGAAUACCGGAGAAUGUUAUCACGGGAGACACACGGCGGGUGCUAACGUCCGUCGUGAAGAGGGAAACAACCCAGACCGCCAGCUAAGGUCCAAAGUCAUGGUUAAGUGGGAAACGAUGUGGGAAGGCCCAGACAGCCAGGAUGUUGGCUUAGAAGCAGCCAUCAUUUAAAGAAAGCGUAAUAGCUCACUGGUCGAGUCGGCCUGCGCGGAAGAUGUAACGGGGCUAAACCAUGCACCGAAGCUGCGGCAGCGACACUGUGUGUUGUUGGGUAGGGAGCGUUCUGUAAGCCUGCGAAGGUGUGCUGUGAGGCAUGCUGGAGGUAUCAGAAGUGCGAAUGCUGACAUAAGUAACGAUAAAGCGGGUGAAAAGCCCGCUCGCCGGAAGACCAAGGGUUCCUGUCCAACGUUAAUCGGGGCAGGGUGAGUCGACCCCUAAGGCGAGGCCGAAAGGCGUAGUCGAUGGGAAACAGGUUAAUAUUCCUGUACUUGGUGUUACUGCGAAGGGGGACGGAGAAGGCUAUGUUGGCCGGGCGACGGUUGUCCCGGUUUAAGCGUGUAGGCUGGUUUUCCAGGCAAAUCCGGAAAAUCAAGGCUGAGGCGUGAUGACGAGGCACUACGGUGCUGAAGCAACAAAUGCCCUGCUUCCAGGAAAGCCUCUAAGCAUCAGGUAACAUCAAAUCGUACCCCAAACCGACACAGGUGGUCAGGUAGAGAAUACCAAGGCGCUUGAGAGAACUCGGGUGAAGGAACUAGGCAAAAUGGUGCCGUAACUUCGGGAGAAGGCACGCUGAUAUGUAGGUGAAGUCCCUCGCGGAUGGAGCUGAAAUCAGUCGAAGAUACCAGCUGGCUGCAACUGUUUAUUAAAAACACAGCACUGUGCAAACACGAAAGUGGACGUAUACGGUGUGACGCCUGCCCGGUGCCGGAAGGUUAAUUGAUGGGGUCAGCGCAAGCGAAGCUCUUGAUCGAAGCCCCGGUAAACGGCGGCCGUAACUAUAACGGUCCUAAGGUAGCGAAAUUCCUUGUCGGGUAAGUUCCGACCUGCACGAAUGGCGUAAUGAUGGCCAGGCUGUCUCCACCCGAGACUCAGUGAAAUUGAACUCGCUGUGAAGAUGCAGUGUACCCGCGGCAAGACGGAAAGACCCCGUGAACCUUUACUAUAGCUUGACACUGAACAUUGAGCCUUGAUGUGUAGGAUAGGUGGGAGGCUUUGAAGUGUGGACGCCAGUCUGCAUGGAGCCGACCUUGAAAUACCACCCUUUAAUGUUUGAUGUUCUAACGUUGACCCGUGAUCCGGGUUGCGGACAGUGUCUGGUGGGUAGUUUGACUGGGGCGGUCUCCUCCUAAAGAGUAACGGAGGAGCACGAAGGUUGGCUAAUCCUGGUCGGACAUCAGGAGGUUAGUGCAAUGGCAUAAGCCAGCUUGACUGCGAGCGUGACGGCGCGAGCAGGUGCGAAAGCAGGUCAUAGUGAUCCGGUGGUUCUGAAUGGAAGGGCCAUCGCUCAACGGAUAAAAGGUACUCCGGGGAUAACAGGCUGAUACCGCCCAAGAGUUCAUAUCGACGGCGGUGUUUGGCACCUCGAUGUCGGCUCAUCACAUCCUGGGGCUGAAGUAGGUCCCAAGGGUAUGGCUGUUCGCCAUUUAAAGUGGUACGCGAGCUGGGUUUAGAACGUCGUGAGACAGUUCGGUCCCUAUCUGCCGUGGGCGCUGGAGAACUGAGGGGCUGCUCCUAGUACGAGAGGACCGGAGUGGACGCAUCACUGGUGUUCGGGUUGUCAUGCCAAUGGCACUGCCCGGUAGCUAAAUGCGGAAGAGAUAAGUGCUGAAAGCAUCUAAGCACGAAACUUGCCCCGAGAUGAGUUCUCCCUGACUCCUUGAGAGUCCUGAAGGAACGUUGAAGACGACGACGUUGAUAGGCCGGGUGUGUAAGCGCAGCGAUGCGUUGAGCUAACCGGUACUAAUGAACCGUGAGGCUUAACCUU